UACGUAGGGUGCGAGCGUUGUCCGGAAUUACUGGGCGUAAAGAGCUCGUAGGCGGUCCGUCGCGUCUGCUGUGAAAUCCCGAGGCUCAACCUCGGGCUUGCAGUGGGUACGGGCAGGCUAGAGUGCGGUAGGGGAGAAUGGAACUCCUGGUGUAGCGGUGAAAUGCGCAGAUAUCAGGAAGAACACCGAUGGCGAAGGCAGUUCUCUGGGCCGUAACUGACGCUGAGGAGCGAAAGCGUGGGGAGCGAACAGG
rnacentral:rRNA from 1 species